AGUUGUUGUUGCAAAUAGUUUGUGUAAGAAAGUGUAAUUACUUCAUGUUAGUUGGUUAUAUAAACUUCUACUGAGUGUCUAUUGUCUACUGUCUAUGUUCUUGUUGACACCACUGCCAGAUGGAAACAGGGUUAAUGGUGUUGCAGAUGAUGCCAGAUCUCUUCUCUUGACCGUGGUGGGGGAGAGCAGGGAAGAUGCUGUGUUUUCCAGGGUGGAUUGCAAUCUUCAAAUAUGGAUCAGGAUUGAAGAACAUCCCCUUCUUCAGACCCACUGCUUGGAUGUCUGACAUUAACAAGAGAACAGGAGAUGGGAGAAGCUGAUGAGCCUCCUGUUGCCCAGACUCUGAGUGACAUCCUGAGUCAUCACAGGCUUCAAGACCUACAUGAAGAGAGAUCAACAGAGAGAAAGAUUUAAAAAAAAAAAA